rnacentral:lncRNA from 1 species
CAUGACUUUGAGAAAAGAAGAAGAGAAUGAAAAUAACUUGUGGAAAGGGAGCCGUCGUAGAAAUCAAAAGACGAGUUUCAGAUUGCAUCGAUUGGAAGGUCAACAGAAAGGAAAGGCUCAAGUCCUAGAGUGAUUAUUCGAUUGGCUAAGGUAAGUGAAUUUCUAAACUCUUGUUAAGUGUAUGGAAUGCGUGUAUUUCCUUGUGCUAUAUGUUUGGGAGUAAUGGGACUUGGUGAUGGGUUGACUUGUCCACAUUGAUUAAUUCUAAUGAGGAAAACAAAAGGGUAAUAAAAGGCAAUGUGAAUAAUGGGUUGUGUGUGAUGUGUUGAUAAUGGAGAAUGAUUUGAAAGACUUGUUGAAUCAUUGUUGAUGUUGUUGUGAAUUGUGCAAUGUUAUUAAAAUAGUGAUAUCCUCUUUAUUUUUGUAUGAACAUGCCAUUGCAUUAUUUUGAUGACAGGGACGUAUCGCGCGCCGCGAUAGAUACUAUAUUUCAAGGGAUGUAUCGCGCGCCGCGAUGGUUACUAUUAUCGAGGGUCGUGUCGCGCGCCGCGACAGAUGCAUGGACAGAUAUGUCCCCCCAUGGGUCCCGGAUUGAGAGACAGCGGAUGUGUAUCACUAGGUCAGACAUGCAUCAUUAUACUUGACAUUGCAUUACGCAUACUUAUCAUUGGUGAACUUGAUAUUGUGUUUUGCUGAUCUUGUGAUUGACUUUCUGCAAAAUUUGUGAUUGAUGAAUACUGAGCUUGUUAUUGAGGAUAUGUAAUUUGGUAAAGUGUGGUUGUGGAGGAUGUAUAUGUAAUUUGUCUAAGUGUUGUUGUAGAGUUACGUGCUAUGUAAAUAUGAACUGUUAGGUUAGACUGAAUUUUAUGCAGUUGUAAUUGUGGAGGUUCGGUUGGGGUGGUAGGAUUACCCGUAUUUCAUCCCCUUAGCUUGUGUUUAGACGUUUACUUGCUGAGUACCGUGUGGUUUGGUACUCACCCCUUGUUUCUACAAAUUUUUGUAGGUUAUGAGCCUGGAUUUUUGUUGUACUUGUCAUUCUCUUCUUUUCCGAGGCUUCUUGGAGAUUUGUCAGGUAGCUGUUUCCAUCGCAGCAGACUUUCUUCUCCUUAAUUAUGAUCUUGUUCUAUUCUAGAAACAACUUCAUUGGAGACUUGAGUUUUCUUUUGAAUCAAUUGUAAUACUUUAGAGGCUUGUACACGUGACUACCAGGUUUUGGGGUUUUUAUUAAGUUACUUAUAUUUUACUUCCGCACUUUAUUGUAAUGGUUGAGUUUUAGGCUGACUUGUCUUGGUGGGAUAAGACGAGUGCCAUCACACCCAUUUUUGGAUCGUGACAAAUGAACGGCCAAAAGUCCUUAUCAUAGAAUUAUGACCAUUCUAUGGACAUCUUUAGCUUAAUUAUAUGAUUGUUUAGCGGAUUUCAACGUUAUGUUUUACUUUUUUAAUUUAUACUCGAUUAUUUGUGGCUUUGCAAUCCAUACACUAAAUGGACAAUGCCAAUAGAAUGUGAAUCAAUUAAUUUGAAUAGUUGGUUAUGCAUCUCAAGAUAUUAUGAUCAUAUAAUCAAUAUAUUCAAAAAUUCGGUGGAUAUCUUGCAUAUGCUCACCAACUAUAAUUGUAUAGGAUGAAAUUACAAAAGUGUCAUAUUCCUAAUUAGUCUUAAUCUCUAGGUGAGCAAAUCUUACUACUCAAUCUUUUUGAAGAUUGUUAAUAUUUAAAUCACAUUUUCAUUUAUCAGGCUUCAUGAUUUAAAUAUUUUUAGAUAAAUUGUAUAUCAAUAUUUCAUUAGUUUUAUCAUGAUUCAAGAGGUACUUACUUAUUACUUCCUCUGUUUAAAAAGAAUGAUCUCAUUUCCUUUUUAGUUUGUUUAAAAAAAAAUGGCCUCUUUCUUUUUUGGGUAACAUUUUAAUUUCAACUUUCAACGUGACAUAUUUAAGGCUACAAUAACAAAAGACAGUGAUGUACAUUUCACCUAACUUUAAUUAAGGACCACAAGAUUCAAAAGUUUUUUUUAUACUCUUAAACUCCGUGUCAAGUCAAACCAGGUCAUUCUUUCUAAACAGAG